GGCAUGAUGGCCAAGUGGUAAGGCAUCUGUCUCAUAACUUGUCUGUUGAGGGUUUGAGCCCUGUUUAUGCCU
rnacentral:tRNA from 1 species